rnacentral:rRNA from 1 species
GAUGAACGCUGGCGGCGUGCUUAACGCAUGCAAGUCGAACGGUGAAGGCGGAGCUUGCUCUGCUGGAUCAGUGGCGAACGGGUGAGUAACACGUGAGCAAUCUGCCCCUGACUCUGGGAUAAGCGCUGGAAACGGCGUCUAAUACUGGAUACGAGCUGCGAAGGCAUCUUCAGCAGCUGGAAAGAAUUUCGGUCAGGGAUGAGCUCGCGGCCUAUCAGCUUGUUGGUGAGGUAAUGGCUCACCAAGGCGUCGACGGGUAGCCGGCCUAAGAGGGUGACCGGCCACACUGGGACUGAGACACGGCCCAGACUCCUACGGGAGGCAGCAGUGGGGAAUAUUGCACAAUGGGCGAAAGCCUGAUGCAGCAACGCCGCGUGAGGGACGACGGCCUUCGGGUUGUAAACCUCUUUUAGCAGGGAAGAAGCGAAAGUGACGGUACCUGCAGAAAAAGCGCCGGCUAACUACGUG